UGGGGAAUAUUGCACAAUGGGGGAAACCCUGAUGCAGCGACGCCGCGUGAACGAAGAAGGUAUUCGUAUCGUAAAGUUCUGUCCUAUGGGAAGAUAAUGACAGUACCAUAGAAGAAAGCUCCGGCUAAAUACGUGCCAGCAGCCGCGGUAAUACGUAUGGAGCGAGCGUUGUCCGGAAUUAUUGGGCGUAAAGGGUACGCAGGCGGUUUAAUAAGUCGAAUGUUAAAGAUCGGGGCUCAACCCCGUAAAGCAUUGGAAACUGAUAAACUUGAGGAGUGGAUAGGAAAGUGGAAUUCCUAGUGUAGUGGUGAAAUACGUAGAUAUUAGGAGGAAUACCAGUAGCGAAGGCGACUUUCUGGACACAAACUGACGCUGAGGUACGAAAGCGUGGGGAGCAAACAGG
rnacentral:rRNA from 1 species